UUAAUGUUGUGGAUCGAUUGAAAGAACUAAUCAAAUACAAAGGCUAUCAGGUGGCUCCGGCUGAACUAGAAGCUCUCCUCAUCCCUCAUCCAGACAUUCUUGAUGCGGCGGUUAUUCCGUUUCCUGAUAAGGAAGCAGGAC